CCGUAGGACUCGAGGACGUGAGCAAGUAUCCUCAGCUUCUGGCGGAAGUACUGAAGGAUCCCAGAUGGAGUGAGGAGGAUGUGGCUAAGCUGGCAGGAGGGAACUUCCUCAGAGUCCUACGAAGAGCUGAGCAGGUUCGAGACGAGUUGAGCUCGACGCAGCCGUACGAGGACCACAUUCACCCCGACAACCUGGCGGGCAGAAGAUCCUGCUGGUGGACGUGACGCCUCCCCUGCCUUAGGACAUGUUGCCCUCUGUUGUUCCUUCUCACUCUCGUCCUGGCUCAAGUUCAUCGGCUCCUCAAGGACAAUCGAAACUGAGAGAUUCGAAAAAUAAAAUAAUAAUAAUAACCCACAAAAACAAGACGACCAGACUCUUACGUCGAAAUUUUCAGAAAUCGUUUUCAACUGUUCAACUGCACAAGAGUGAGAGGAACGUCGAGUUGAUUUACUAUCCCGUUGGAAAAAAGCAAACACGAGUUGAUUUGUUAUCCCGUUGGAAAAUCACAAACUUGAGUUGAUUUGCUAUCCCGCUGGAAAAAAGCAAACAUGAGUUGUAUUGCUAUAUCGUUGGAAAAAACCAAACUUUAGAUCCUAACAAAUGCAGAGUCUAUUCGGUUCAGAAAGAGGACCAGGAAUUUUUAGCUGUAUAUAUAUAUCUCAAAGGAUUUUUCUUAAACGAAACGGCUAUGGAGGCCUAUUUUGCAUGGAACCACCUCCACUCUGUUAACUCCACAAUGAGGCCCAAAAGAUUUGUGUACAUAGAAAUAGACUUAAACUGUCUCUCUCUUUUCGUCUUCAAGAAAUAUGUUUUGCUACGAGGUUUUUUGUGUGGAUAAAACGAUUAGAAGAAGUACUAGGUGGAACCUAAAGACACUACGAUAAAGAGAGAGAGAUAGACCAAAAAGGAAAGAAGAAGGAGUAUUGCUUUUUGUUUUUUUUUAUCCCUUCCCGUACCUGAACUAGUCUCAUGGGUGAGGUGCUUCUUGCAAUGACCAUUCCAGAACAGGUUUUCUUUCUUUUAUUUGAUUUAUAACCCUAACCCUAACAGACCCAAGCGAAAGACCAGAGGAAUCAUAAUUUAUAUUAAUAAAAGAAAGAACACAAACUACAAUACAAACUUCAGAAAAGAUAGAAAAAAAAGACUAAGCACCUUUAAGCUCUGAGGGAUAAUAACAAUAUAAUCACAUUUGAGACUGUCGAAUAAAAAAAAUGUUCGACUUACGUUAAGCAGUGAUGACUGUGUUUAUUUAUUUAUUUUUUUUUUGUGAAUAUAAAUGAAAGAACGAACUCUAAAGAAGUUUAAAAAAAAUAUAUAAAGAAUAAUGAGAGAAAAAAAAACAAGAAAGUUCUAUAGAGGGAGAGAGAGAGCGAGAGAAGGACAGAUAGAAAGUGAGGUUAUUGAAUCAGUACAAAACUUCAGCAGAAUAAAAAAAAUGAAUUUCUUCGUCUCGAUGUUUAGACCCGUCGCGGACGUUUAGGUAUAUAAAUAAAUAAAUAAAUAAAUAAAUAAAUAUAAAUAAAUAAAUAAAUAUAUAUAUAUAUAUAUGCCUCGUAUAUAAAGCUCCUCUGUGAGUGGACUGUAUUCGUCAUUGUAUGACUUGUGAUAUAUAUAUAUUAAAAAAAGUGGUUCAUUACCGUCUUUUUUAAGAGGCCAUGUUAGUUAUGCACAUUAUUUUUUCAUUCAGUCGGAUCCUCGAGAAUUCAGCCGAUCUUGAUUUCCAGUGGAACUCGACGUCGUCGAAAUCAUAUGUAUUCCAAAGGCUAAGGAAAACGAAGUCUACUUGGCAUAUCCCAGAGAUAUGAGUGCAAACAAAAAUAUAUAUAUAUAUAUAAAAGUGAAAUAUUUAUUCAGCUCAGGUGAACAGCAGAAGUGUUUAUAUUAUAUAUAUAUAUCGUUCCUAAGAGACCUUCAAGUGUUAUAUAUAUAUACACAAACACAGACAGAGAGCGACGAGAGAAAGCGAGAGAGAAAGAGAGAGAGAAAGUUUUACUAGUCGUGUUUUUAGACGUGAAUUCUAUAUAGAAAAUAUAAAAAAACUAUUGUAUAGAUUUUAUAAAAAAGGACACAAGCUGUAAUAUAUAGAUAUAUAUAUCGCUCUCAUCAGACGGUGUUGGACAUCUCUAUGACUUAGGUGGAUAUCACGAUAGUACGCUGUUCGUAGCAAUAUUGACGUGACGUCAUUUGUAAGAAGUCGUAGAAGCCGACGGCGACGACGACGAUGAUAUUCCUUGACAUACUUUUAUACCGAAGAUAUGUGUCGGCGUGUGUGGUAUCGUUUCGUGCGUGUGUAUGUGCGUGUACGCGUCGUGUGAACCUGCGUGCCGUUAGAGUGUACAUACGUAACUUGAUCUUUGGUAGACACCGCAGACAAUCUCUUUAUUAAAGAUAUAAAAAAAGGCUUUUUUGAUAAUAUUAGAAUGUACUACUACGUGUUCACCUUCGUCAUUCCCGGUCGGUGAGAUAUAGUUUCUUAAUCGACUUUUUAUAUUUUUUUCUCUCAUUCGGUACAUUUUCUGUGUUAGGGGAAUGAAAUGAUGAAACUACGCCUCCUCAACUCUUUUUUUUUUUUUUUUUUUUUUUAAGGGGGUGAGGGUGGGGGUCUGGCGCCCACGGGUGGUCGCCUUGGUUUGAAAAAGUUCAUUCGUUCACAAUCUCGUUCCGACGACUGGCCUGAUCGUCUAGUUUACUCACACAGGGGGACUUAGCAUUUCUUAUAUACCGGAACCUCACCAUUUUUACCUUCAAAUGAUCCACAGGGUUGUAAUCAUCUCUAUAAUUCUAUAUAUUUUUAUUUGCCUGGUCUUUUUUUUUAUAAACCCUUUUCAUCUAUAGUUUUCGACGUCUAUAUCUUUCUUCUUCUUGACGGUGGUGUGUGAGUGAGAAUGAAUGAUCUAAUUAUGAUGACUGUCAUUAUAUGUAUGUAUGUAUAUAUAUACACAUAUACAAGUAUAUAUAUUUAUGUAUAUACAAAUGCAUAAGUAUGUAUGUAUGUGCUGGAAAUUAUAAAAAAAAAUAUGCUUGCUCAAUCACUGAAUAGUUACUAAGAGCAACUUGGUUUUGACUAAUGUAGAAUGCGGAACCUUUUUAUAUCUUGAUAGAGAGAGAGAAGAGAGAGAGAGAGAGAGAGAGAGAGAGAGAGAGAGAGAGAGAGAUGCAUCCUUCGAAAUGUAAUUAAAUCCCUUGACGGAUGUAAAAUCCAAACUGAGAAGACCAGGCGUAGAGUUAAAUUUUUGUAGUCAGACAUAACCUGAUAACGUUCAUUGAACUACCUCUAUAGGACUGCCUGAUUUAUCUAUCAUUCACCUAUUUCGUUUGUCAUUCAUUUGUUAUUUAGCGUUAAAAAUGAACUUUAUAUACGAAAGACAAAGAAGCAGCUUCUGGUCGGAAAUGCUAUGAGCAGUAACGCCAGGCAGUCAGGCCAGUCGUCCAAUUCAGGCAUUUUGCUUCCCUCUGGAACCCAUAGAAAAAAUCACCCCGGGUGGUGUCAGUCAAGUCUCACCUUCCUACACAACUUUAGCGGAGAAACGAAGCGAACGGCCGUUUUUUCUUUUCAUUUUUCUUUUUUAGAAUU